UUGACAUCGUAUAAGGGAUUUAUGGUCAUUUUUCUAAGAAUUGGGUUGCCAGGCUUUUCAGAUUAAUUAUGAAAUUGCCACUGAAUUCGUAUUUAAAAAUCUGCGCUAUUCCAAAUAUUGAAACCAACAUAUCUCAUUCAUUAUAAGGUCAAAUGGAGUAAUUCAAAAGCCUAACUUAACUGGAAUUUCACAAGGAAUCCAUUGGAGGCAUCAAAAGCGAGUUUUGGGAUCGUUUGGCACCAGAAACGAGGCAGAACAGCUGGGCGUUUUUGCUAUUUAAUGUUGUUUGGGUUUCUCUCAUCUUGAAAGCUUGGGUUUGGGAGAAUUCAAGGAUGUUCUUCAAGUUUCUUCCAUGUGACUUUCUUGGUCUUAAGGCUCAACGGGAGGGAAAGGCUAAGGAGUGAUUGUUGGUGUAUUGCUGUUCGGCCAUCCAGGUAGGUUAUGGCUUACCUUUGGUGAGACUUCGUGUAGCGAAGCAUAUAUUUUGAUGAUAUUGUCGGAGAAAGCAUGUAAACCUUCGUGUAUGAAGUUGGGUUGGAUAUUGUCUUAGGUUGGGCCUUGUUGCGUGAUUGGGGCUAGCCACCCCGUUGUGUUGUGACUUGAUUGCUCUAUUGUUAUUGGCUUGAUGCUGCGUGGUAAUAGUAGAUAUUGGAGACUAUUGAUAUAUCUUGUUCAUGA